UCUAAUUGUAGCACCCAUAUAAUAGGACUAAAACAAUAUUUGUUUCCUUUAAAAAUAAGGAACUAGCAGCCCCCUUCCCCUCUUUAUUCUUCUUCCACGCACACCAACCCUUCCCCACCUACAACCACCAUUUUUCCUCCAUUAACGCCACCACAACACCUCCAAUCACUGGCAAAAUACUCUUAUCCAUCAUGUUAGCCGAUGGUGACCCUUUUCCUUUAUUUUCUGGCAGGAAAACAAUCAACCUAAGGAGGAAAACAAUUGUCUUUCUCGUUGCUGCUGUCCAAAUAGCCCAUUGUCGACGUUAUUUUCUCAAUUCGAAGCUGGAUUUGUACUCCCACCCCCAAAAACCUUAGACCAACCUUCCUUGUCUUCAUUUCGCACCGAUAGCCGGUGUUUGUGUCUCGCUGGAGCCAAAACCUUUUGGUCAUGAUUUGGAGGUUUCCGGCGAGCUUUAGGUGAAAAGAAUACCAUAUUUGGACUCCUCAUGUUGCAAGCUUCGCAUGGGUACCCUCAAAUUUAAUUUUUGACACCGUUGGAAAUUUUGACAUUUGGACCCUAGUGUUUACGGGACACGCAUGACGGCAGAAUAUUCAUCUCGAAAUAAUAUUUUUGGACCCAAAAAAUUUAAUUUAAUAUUAUUAAUAAUUAUUUAAUUUAUUAAUUAUUAAUUAUUGAUAAAUAAUUAACUUUAUUAAUUAUUAGUUUACUUGUGUAUUAUAAGGGAUUAAUGUUAGCAAAUUAAUUAUUAGUUGGUAAAUAAAUGAGAAAGUUGAUUGUGAGUAAUUUAGUUAAUUAUUGAGAAAUUAUUUAUGAAUUAAUGGUAGUUUAUGAUAAUUAAGAUAAUUAGAUAAUUAUUAUUGUUAUAAUUGUGUUGUAUUGGUGAGUCACGAG
rnacentral:lncRNA from 1 species